UGGUGCACGUGUUUUUGCAAAUUUUGUUUUUCUAAAGUAUAUUCCUAGAAUGCACACAGUUGCUGUUUGCAAAAUCUGUUUUGUACACGCAUAACUCUUUUGAUGUUCUUGGCUUUUAUUAAUGCAUUUGUGCAUGAGUCCGUUAAUCUUU